rnacentral:other from 1 species
ACAAGCCUGAGAUGUGCGCGGGCUUUAAUAAUGUCUAACCUACAUUUUUUUCAGGGAGCCUGAUUUGAUUCUGGCGGAUAUUCGCCUCGGCGGUUUUGGAAACCAGACUUAGGGCACCCACCUGCGAGCAGCAGGUUUUAGGCAUGUAAAGCGAACGGCAUUUUGGACCCCUG